rnacentral:rRNA from 1 species
UACGUAGGUGGCAAGCGUUGUCCGGAUUUACUGGGCGUAAAGAGCGCGCAGGCGGCCAAGUCAGUCGAAGUGUGAAAGCCCCCGGCUUAACUGGGGAGGGUCAUUCGAUACUGCUUGGCUCGAAGACAGGAGAGGGAAGCGGAAUUCCCGGUGUAGUGGUGAAAUGCGUAGAUAUCGUGAGGAACACCAGAGGCGAAGGCGGCUUCCUGGACAAUUGCUGACGCUCAGGCACGAAAGCGUGGGGAGCAAAAGGG